CAUUGCAGGUGGAUUCUUUACUGUCUGAGCCACCAGUGAAGCCCAUUGGAUAUGCAAAGAAGUGCAAAGGACACCAACAAACUGCCUGAAGAUAGAGGACAAGGAUAGGACAGAGCCUGCCUCACAGCCUCCACAGGAAUCAGCCCUGUUGAUACAUAUUUUUUUCUGGGCUGGGCCACCAGGCAUGCAAGGAUCUUAGUUCCUUGUCCAGGCCUUGAACCCAUGUCUCCAGCAAAUGGAAGCACAGAGUCCUAACCACUGGAUACCAGGGACAUUCCAACCCUGCUGACAUCUUUUUUUUUCCUUUUUUUUUUUAACCUCUUUUUUUCUUAAUAAUGUUUAUUUAUUUACUAAGCCGGGUGUUCCUUGCUUUGUGGAGGCUUUCUCUAGUUUCAGGGAUCAACAGCUACUCUCUAGUUGCGGUGCAUGGGCUUCUCAUUGUGGUGGCUUCUCUUGUUGCAGAGCACAAGAUCUAGGUGUUCCGGUUUAACUGGGGCACACAGGCCCAGGUGCUCCAUGGCAUGUGGAAUCUUCCCACAGGAGGGAUCGAAGCUGUGUCCGCUGCAUUGGCAGGCAGAUUCUUAACCACUGGACCAUCAGGGAAGUCUCCUGCUGACAUCUUGAUCAUGGACUUCUGACUUCCAGAACUCAUCUGGGCUCUCAGCACCCCAACCAGGGAUUGAACCCCUCGCGCCUGCAGUGGAAGCUCUGAGUCCCUUCGCAGCCCCAAACUCCAGUACUCACGGAGCAUGUUUAUGACCACUUCAUGGGUGACUUCACCACGAGCGCUGGUGGCCCGACAUAGACUCACUGAACACUUCAAGGACGUGGUGCCCUCUUCCUCCUCGUUCCCCUCGAUCCAGGCCUCGGCCAAGACGGGUCACCAUUGUACAUGAUACUGGAUUCCAGUGUCUGGUGCCCCAGCACCAGGUAGACCUCA